AAAUCCAGGGCCCACAUCUGGGCUCCAUCCUCAAUCCAGGAAUCUAUGCCAGUGCGAACAGUGAUGCAAAUUGAUGAGCUAAUUGAGUACUGGUCAUCUUAACGAGUUUAGAUUUUUAUCUGAAAAGCCAGAGUGACAUUUCUAUCACAAUUGACCCAUUCGUGCGAGAUCAUACACAGGAGCCCCGGGCCGACCUCAACCAACAUGUACCAGCCCUACGUGAACAUGCCCACGCGAUGGAGGACCGGUCAGGGGGACGAGCAGCAGACCGCCUGGGGGGGAGCCAUAGGGGACCCCUACAGCCUCCAACCCUCCCGACCCGACCCUCUGCCCCGCCCUCCCUACCCUCUCAUCGGGCCCUACGGUCGAAGGCAGCCCCCUCUCUGGAGCACGUUGGCUAACACGUGGAAGUAAUACACUGGGACCGUGACAUUCGCAUCGUCACACUGGCGAGAUGUGGAGGACGAUAUCGGGCCGGCCAGACAGAACAACAUCCCUUUGACUGAUGCCUUCUAUUCUCGUCCUCAGAGAUGGGAGAAGUGAUGCCUUUAUGGCUGCCUCCAGCCCAGCCCAGCCCCCCACCCCCUCGUCAUGAAUCACUCGCUGGAUAAUAUUCUCCUUGUUUCCAUGCUUUCUAAAAAUCUUUUACAGCUGUCGAAUUUCUUCUUUUUUUUUUUGAGUGUUGUUGAAAUACCGUCACUUACUGAUUCAUGAGUUCUUAAGUUAAUUGAAUGCAUGUGACAUUGUCUAUUUCCGCAGAACGCUAUGGAUGUGACGUUGUGUGAUUGAUCUUUAUUACUUUUUGUACAUAGCGACAUUGAAGAACAACAAAACAACAGACAUUAAGAGUUCUCCUGCUAAAACAUUCUGAGGUUCGGUGACUGCCGGCUGGGAGUUCGACCGAUGUCCUGCAGUGCGUGAAUGCAUCUCCGGAGCGCGCAGGCUGAGCUUCAAAACCAACCUCCAUCUAAAAUGGUUCCUGUUUCUUUGGCUUACUGUAGGAUUGAAAAUCCAUUGGCACAUUUACGGACAUCAGCUUGCAUAAUAAAGAGAUAAGCAUCAUGUUAACAGCAAAGUGA